GGGUGGAUUUCUCCCGGAGCAUGAGCGCUGGCUGCAAGAAUUUCUCUGUGGCACGAUGAGACCUAUGCUGCCUCCACUGCAAACUCCAGCCCUGUCCACCACCAAGGCCGAACGGACCCGACCCUACUUUGUGGAGACAGACCCUAACCACCCCAAUCUGUCCUGUGGCCUUAACCGGAGAGCAGUGCACUUACAGCAGGUGGGCCGAGCAAAAGUCCUGAGGCGCUUCCGCAAGCUGGCUGAGGUGAGGAAAUCAGAA